AGAGUUUGAUCCUGGCUCAGAACGAACGCUGGCGGCAGGCCUAACACAUGCAAGUCGAACGCCUCAGCAAUGAGGAGUGGCAGACGGGUGAGUAACGCGUGGGAACCUUCCCAGUGGUACGGAAUAACUGACCGAAAGGUUAGCUAAUACCGUAUACGCCCGAAAGGGGAAAGAUUUAUUGCCAUUGGAUGGGCCCGCGUCGGAUUAGCUUGUUGGUGAGGUAAUGGCUCACCAAGGCGACGAUCCGUAGCUGGUCUGAGAGGAUGAUCAGCCACACUGGGACUGAGACACGGCCCAGACUCCUACGGGAGGCAGCAGUGGGGAAUAUUGGACAAUGGGCGCAAGCCUGAUCCAGCCAUGCCGCGUGAGUGAUGAAGGUCUUCGGAUUGUAAAACUCUUUCGCCGGGGAAGAUAAUGACGGUACCCGAGAAGAGUCC
rnacentral:rRNA from 1 species